GACGAACGCUGGCGGCGUGCUUAACACAUGCAAGUCGAACGGAAAGGCCCUGCUUUUGUGGGGUGCUCGAGUGGCGAACGGGUGAGUAACACGUGAGUAACCUGCCCUUGACUUUGGGAUAACUUCAGGAAACUGGGGCUAAUACCGGAUAGGAGCUCCUGCUGCAUGGUGGGGGUUGGAAAGUUUCGGCGGUUGGGGAUGGACUCGCGGCUUAUCAGCUUGUUGGUGGGGUAGUGGCUUACCAAGGCUUUGACGGGUAGCCGGCCUGAGAGGGUGACCGGCCACUUGGGGAUGGGGUUCGGCCCCAGCCUCCUCCGGGGGGCAGCGGGGGGGAAUAUGCCACAGGGGGCGGAGGCCUGAGGCCGCACCCCCGCGUGGGGGAUGGCGGCUUCCGGUUUUUAACCCGUUUUCGCCUGGGACGAGGGGGGAGUGACGUUAUUGGAUAAAAAAGCCCCGGCUAACUACGUC
rnacentral:rRNA from 1 species